AAAAACUCAGUCAACCUUCCUCAGUCCCCUCACAUUUCUUAUCUUCCCCAUUCUUCCCUUCCUACCUCCUCCUCUGUUGCCACACGCUAGAUCCCCCAUCCACAGCCGGCACUCUCUGGUGGGCGCCCCUCCCAUUCGUCACCAUUGUCGGCGGACACAUAGGCCCAUGCUCUUCCCUGCCCCGCCCCUUCUUCAUAUCCGAUCCCCGAAGUGCUCGAGGAGGCGCUCGAGCUCGGCAUGCUCGCCGGCGACACCGGGGCCCUCCCUCCUCCUGAUGCACUCUCCGUCGCCGCCAUGAGCGUCUCCACCUUCUCCCGCGCGCCGUGAAUCCUCCCUCCCCCCUGCUCGAGACGCCAUCAAGGUCCGGUUCCAACUCUUCUUCUCCCCUCGAUCCGGAUGCUCUGCUCUCCGACACCAUCUUUUUGCUUGUUCGAUUCAGUCUGGAGCAGGAGCAGCUGCUGCUCGCGACCUCUAGUUCCUUCUUUCCAUGGAUGUGCUGCUGCUCGGGGCCCUCCCUAUGCUUCUCCUCGCUCGUACGGGUCCAGGGUUAGCUGCUCAGGGGACAUGGUGUGUUCCGUGUGGCGCUGCCUUCGCGGCAGCCGCCGUUGUUGUGUCUCGUGUGUCGCGGCAGCCAAUGGGUCGGGAAGGUCUGAGACUGGAGGUCCCUGCUCGCCAACUCACAGACGGUUGUUCUCCGACCAGUUAAAAAUGAGAGAAGGAGGUGCGAAAGGGGAUGGGAGCAACAAGUCUGAAUCGAAGAGAACUGAUAGCAUGUCCUGCCAUGAGGAAUUUGAAGCGGUCAGAAGACAUAAGAGCCGGGUCCUAAACUAUGUUAAGGCCAUGCUGAUGUGUAAGAGUUUGCGGGUGACAUCCUCCAUGGCAAUCAUAUUCCCUCCAACAUCCUUCAGGCCAUGGCGACCAGGUCAAAGAAGUCGAACCUGAAGAAGUGCAGGGAAGAAUUAUGGUUGCGUGUGGCUGGCUGGUUCAGGGGAAUUUCAGGGCGGGCGCGGCGGCACGGGUGCCGGAGCAGGCUCCUAGGCACUGGCGAUCUGUCGGACGGAUAUUAGAAACGAAGGUGAAGGAGGAGCGGCCGCCCACUCGACGGUGCGGUGUAGGGCGGCGAGGGAGGCCGGCAGGGAGGCCUCAAUGCGGUGCAGGACGGCGAGGGAACCGUCCAGCGAGGCGACGAUGCGAUGCAGGGGUCCAGGCCGCCGUGCAGGGAGGCGACAUGACUGCUGAGCUUCGUCUGGGGCGGUGGCGAGGAAAGGCAGGGAGUGGGGCCAGGGACACGAUUAGGUUCGAUUUCCUUUUUUUGCGAGUUGGUUAGAUGGUUAGAUUAGCGUGAUUUGAGGGGCUGCGGAUGCGGGACGGAGAGUUUCAUAUUUUCCUCUUGUGGAGUAUGGUCAGUCUAUUGAAACUGCUAAGCGCACACCAGAUCUUGAAUAAAUUAAUGAUGACUGUUGGAUUGGGU
rnacentral:rRNA from 1 species